rnacentral:rRNA from 1 species
UACGUAGGGGGCUAGCGUUGUCCGGAAUCAUUGGGCGUAAAGCGCGUGUAGGCGGUCCGGUAAGUCCGCUGUGAAAGCCCGGGGCUCAACCUCGGAAUUGCCUUCAAUACUGGCUGCCUUGAGUGUGAGAGAGGUGUGUGGAACUCCGAGUGUAGAGGUGAAAUUCGUAGAUAUUCGGAAGAACACCAGUGGCGAAGGCGACACACUGGCUCACUACUGACGCUGAGGCGCGAAAGCGUGGGGAGCAAACAGG